rnacentral:misc_RNA from 1 species
CCGAGUUUACAACUCCCAAACCCCUGUGAACAUACCUAUACGUUGCCUCGGCGGAUCAGCCCGCGCCCCGUAAAAAGGGACGGCCCGCCCGAGGACCCCUAAACUCUGUUUUUAGUGGAACUUCUGAGUAAAACAAACAAUAAAUCA